rnacentral:tRNA from 1 species
GGCCGCCUGGCGAAAUGGCAUCGCGUCUGACUUCGAAUCAGAAGAUUGCAGGUUCGACCCCUGCGGCGGUCA